rnacentral:rRNA from 1 species
UACGUAGGGGGCAAGCGUUAUCCGGAUUUACUGGGUGUAAAGGGAGCGUAGACGGCAGCGCAAGUCUGGAGUGAAAUCCCAUGGCUUAACCAUGGAACUGCUUUGGAAACUGUGCAGCUAGAGUGCAGGAGAGGUAAGCGGAAUUCCUAGUGUAGCGGUGAAAUGCGUAGAUAUUAGGAGGAACACCAGUGGCGAAGGCGGCUUACUGGACUGUAACUGACGUUGAGGCUCGAAAGCGUGGGGAG